GUGGGGAAUCUUAGACAAUGGGGGAAACCCUGAUCUAGCCAUGCCGCGUGAGCGAUGAAGGCCUUAGGGUUGUAAAGCUCUUUCAGCUGGGAAGAUAAUGACGGUACCAGCAGAAGAAGCCCCGGCUAACUCCGUGCCAGCAGCCGCGGUAAUACGGAGGGGGCUAGCGUUGUUCGGAAUUACUGGGCGUAAAGCGCACGUAGGCGGAUCAGAAAGUCAGAGGUGAAAUCCCAGGGCUCAACCUUGGAACUGCCUUUGAAACUCCUGGUCUUGAGGUCGAGAGAGGUGAGUGGAAUUCCGAGUGUAGAGGUGAAAGUCGUAGAUAUUCGGAGGAACACCAGUGGCGAAGGCGGCUCACUGGCUCGAUACUGACGCUGAGGUGCGAAAGCGUGGGGAGCAAACAGGAUUAGAAACCCCGGUAGUCC
rnacentral:rRNA from 1 species